UGAGCUUGAUCCUGGCUCAGGACGAACGCUGGCGGCGUGCCUAAUACAUGCAAGUCGAGCGGACAAUAGGGAGCUUGCUCCCUAUUGUUAGCGGCGGACGGGUGAGUAACACGUGGGCAACCUGCCCUGUAGACUGGGAUAACAUCGAGAAAUCGGUGCUAAUACCGGAUAAUAAAUGGAAUUGCAUAAUUCCAUUAUAAAAGAUGGCUCCGGCUAUCACUACAGGAUGGGCCCGCGGCGCAUUAGCUAGUUGGUAAGGUAACGGCUUACCAAGGCAACGAUGCGUAGCCGACCUGAGAGGGUGAUCGGCCACACUGGGACUGAGACACGGCCCAGACUCCUACGGGAGGCAGCAGUAGGGAAUCUUCCGCAAUGGACGAAAGUCUGACGGAGCAACGCCGCGUGAGCGAUGAAGGCCUUCGGGUUGUAAAGCUCUGUUGUUAGGGAAGAACAAGUGCCAUUCAAAUAGGGUGGCACCUGACCGGUACCUAACCCAAAAGCCCG
rnacentral:rRNA from 1 species